rnacentral:rRNA from 1 species
UACGUAUGGUGCGAGCGUUGUCCGGAAUCAUUGGGCGUAAAGCGCGUGUAGGCGGCCCGGUAAGUCCGCUGUAAAAGUCCAGGGCUCAACCCUGGAAAGCCGGUGGAUACUGUCGGGCUCGAGUCCGGAAGAGGCGAGUGGAAUUCCUGGUGUAGCGGUGAAAUGCGCAGAUAUCAGGAGGAACACCAAUGGCGAAGGCAGCUCGCUGGGACGGUACUGACGCUGAGGCGCGAAAGCGUGGGGAGCAAACAGG